AUCAAUUAAAAUACAACUUUUGCAGUGUAGUUUCAGAAAUAAAACACAUAUACACAAGUUUGUCAAGUAUGUGUCGAAGUUCAAAAACAGUAAACUUGAUGUAUGUAGUAUGUUGUAGUACCUCUAUGCACUGGCGGAGGCUCAUGGAGGACAAACAGGGGUGUGACACCACCUUCUCUGUCAUCCAUUUAUCAUGUCGUGCUGUGCCCCACUAAGCAUCAGCCAACGGCUUGCUGCUGCAUCUGCACGCCACGAAUGUUAAUGCCUGUCAUAUUGUGCGCCACCGAUAAUCACCAGCGGCUUGUUGUUGCAUCUGCAUGCCAGCACUGCUACUGCCCUUCUCGUCAUCUCAUGUUCCUGCCAUAUUGUGCGCCACCGAUCAUCACCAGCGGCUUGCUGAUGCAUCUGCACACCAGCACUAUUGUUGCCCUUCUCGUCAUCUAAUGCUCCAGCCGUAUUGUGCGCCACAAAUCAUCACUGGUGGCUUGCUGCUGCAUCUGCGUGCCAUGUAAAAAGAUGUGAUCCAUGUGAGCUUAAUUCAUAUGUUACGACUCGGUCAGCCAAGCUAUUAUUGUAUCAAUUAAAGAAACUUGAUUCAGAUUAGAAGUACUUAAGCCGCACCUUACUUAAGCCGCACCUGUUUUCAAUUUAUCACACAUAUUUUUCUUUUAGUUUGAAUUUAGCGCCACUUGGCUGCUUGUCACGCUCCACCACUGCCACUAUG
rnacentral:lncRNA from 1 species